UUAAACAAAAUUUCAAACACUCAAUAAUUCAUAAGCUUAUUGGCAAAUCAUGUCAACCAUAAUAUGUCACGUGCAGUGGCUUUAAACCUGAUAAAACACUCCUAAUUAGUAUUAUUUAUAUAAAGAAUACUAAUAAGGCAGUAUCUAUUCCUUAAUUAUCAAAAAUUUUCCAGAAAAAUUCGGGGGGGGGCUAAAGCCCCCCUAGCCCCCCCCCACCCUGUUCCGCCGCCACUGUAACGCAGGCAAGUUUGACUCAGUAAAUAUACUGCCCAGAUAGUUCUAACUGACAGACGAUCCGUUAUUAAUUAUGGUUGGUUAUUUUCAGCUUUUCAAUAACAGGAAUUCUGGUUCGUUACAACAUCCCUUUAACAUUACGUUGCUUUUAUAAAAAUGACGUAUUUGCAUUUACGUGACUCACGCAGAUUCCGGUAAUCGGAAACCAAAUCAACGUAAUCAUGACGUCAUUUGCGUUUUUUAGUUUAUUGGAAAAUUCUUGUUCCAAAAAUAAUUUAAGGCUGUUAUUUUUAACGGCCAGUUGUCGAGCUCUAAUCACAAGUUCAUGUAUUUAUAUACUAGCCUACUAGGGUAAGUGGUUAGCGCACUUGCCUUUCACCUCUGAGGCCGCAGGUUCAAGCCUCAGUGA